GGUGUUAUCAGCUUCACAUGGUUCGCGAGCUGCAGCGGCUGCAUUAUAGGACAUUUAAGGAUUUAGUAGGUGACUCAGUGGAAAUGUAACUGCAAUGGAGAACCCAUGUGUCUGUGUGUGUGUGUGUAAUUGUACAGUAACUCCACAGCAGAGUGAAAGAUGCAGACGGAGUGGUGCCUUCUUAAUCUGUAUGUGAUAACAGAGAGAGAACAGUGGAAUCCCAGAAUGAUCCCUGUUUUGUGGAUGAAGUCUUUUUACAGCGGCAUGACUGACGUGUGCCGAGGACAGCUGUUACAUGGAACCAUAGGCUGCAGCUGAAGUAUCCUGCUCGUGCUUAAACAGUCACCACCAUAUGUCAGUCUGACAUGUUUUCAUGGCGGGGUUUUUUUGUCGAUUCACGUCUAAAUGCCACGUGAGAUUAAACGAUACAAACCUCAAA